UACGAAGGGGGCUAGCGUUGCUCGGAAUUACUGGGCGUAAAGGGCGCGUAGGCGGCACUGUUAGUCAGGCGUGAAAGUCCUGGGCUCAACCUGGGAACUGCGCUUGAUACGGCAGAGCUAGAGGAUGGAAGAGGGUCGCGGAAUUCCCAGUGUAGAGGUGAAAUUCGUAGAUAUUGGGAAGAACACCGGUGGCGAAGGCGGCGACCUGGUCCAUUACUGGCGCUGAGGCGCGACAGCGUGGGGAGCAAACAGG
rnacentral:rRNA from 1 species